UAUUAUAUUUAAUAUUAAACAUUACAUAUUUGAUUAUUAAUAGAUAUCUACUUUAAAUUCAAAGAAUUUGGCGGUAUUUUAGUCUAGUUAGAGGAACCUGUUUUAUAAUCGAUAAACCACGUAUAUCUUACUUAUUUUAAAUAAUUUGUAUACCGUCAUUAUUAGAUAACUUUCAAAAAAUUAGUUAUUAAAAUUAAUAAAAUUAAAUAUAUUAGAUCAAGGUGCAGUUAAUAAAUAAGAAAAAAUGGGUUACAAUAAAAUUUAUUUAAUAAACGAAUUAUAUAAAUGAAAAAAUAUAUGAAGGAGGAUUUAAUUGUAAUUUUUUUUAAAAUAAUAAUAUGAUAAUAGUUCUAAAAUAUGUACAUAU
rnacentral:rRNA from 1 species